rnacentral:rRNA from 1 species
AGCGAACGCUAGCGGGUGGCUUAACACAUGCAAGUCGAGCGCCUUCUUCGGAAGGAGCGGCGGACGGGUGAGUAACACGUAGGAAUUCUGCCCUUUGGUGGGGGAUAACUCAGGGAAACCUGAGCUAAUACCGCAUAUGGCCCACGGGUCAAAGGCUUCGGCCGCCAGAGGAUGAGCCUGCGUCCCAUUAUUUAAUCCUAGUUGGUGGGGUAAUGGCCUACCAAGGGUACGAUGGGUAGCUGUUCUGAGAGGAAGAUCAGCCACACUGGGACUGAGACACGGCCCAGACUCCUACGGGAGGCAGCAGUGGGAAUAUUGCGCAAUGGGCGAAAGCCUGACGCAGCCAACCCGCGUGUGUGAUGAAGGCCUUCGGGUCGUAAAGCACUGUCGUAAGGGAAGAAGUUCUGACGGUACCUUUACAAGAAAGCACCGGCU